AAAAAGGGUGCUCGUCAUUGCAUGUGAUUAUAUCGCAAAAAGCAAUGUUUGCAGAUUUCUGCAAACUUUGUAAUUGUGCAGACGCAUUGUAGAAUUGCCGCUGAAAUUUGCAAGAACCUUUGAACAUAGAUUCUUAUCUACGUUCGAAGGAUUGUGGAUGGUAGCAGUUACUUCAGUGGGGUAUGGCUUUGCAUAUCCAGUGCAUAAUUUUUGUAGAAUGAAAGGCAAGGCUGGCCAAGAGAAUGGGUUGCAUUUGG
rnacentral:snRNA from 1 species